UACGUAUGGGGCAAGCGUUGUCCGGAUUCACUGGGUGUAAAGGGCGCGUAGGCGGGUUAGCAAGUCAGAGGUGAAAUCUCCCGGCUCAACCGGGAAACUGCCUUUGAAACUGUUAAUCUUGAGUGCGGAAGAGAGAGACGGAAUUCCAGGUGUAGCGGUGAAAGGCGGAGAUAUCUGGAGGAACACCGGUUGCGAAGGCGGUCUCUUGGUCCGUAACGGAAGCGCAGGCGCGCACGCGUGGGUAGCACACAGAAGGCGAUAACAGCGGAGUCC
rnacentral:rRNA from 1 species